GUCGGGAUAGCUCAGUUGGUAGAGCAGAGGACUGAAAC
rnacentral:tRNA from 1 species